GAGCAUCCUUAGUAAACAACCCCAGUUGCGUUUUGUGGUUUCUGGGACAAGAAAGGGUGCAAGAUCAAUUUAGAAUUAUCCAAAGCUGAGAGCUGUGUGUCAGUAGCUCCCGGCUAUUUCACCUCUAAGACAAAC